UACGGGGGGGGCAAGCGUUGUUCGGAAUUACUGGGCGUAAAGGGCUCGUAGGUGGCCAACUAAGUCAUACGUGAAAUCCCUCAGCUUAACUGGGGAACUGCGUCUGAUACUGGAUGGCUUGAGUUUGGGAGAGGGAUGCGGAAUUCCAGGUGUAGCGGUGAAAUGCGUAGAUAUCUGGAGGAACACCGGUGGCGAAGGCGGCAUCCUGGACCAAUACUGACACUGAGGAGCGAAAGCCAGGGGGGCAAACGGG
rnacentral:rRNA from 1 species